CGGAAUUUCUUCUCAAGUGGUCUCUGAUCCAGAGAGACACACCCAGCGGCAGCCGUUGACUCCCUCCACCCUUGCUUCCCUCUCAACCAUCUCACCUCCAUCUGUCCAGUGGAGCCAGAUGUCCCACCUUCUUGGGAGAAAUUAAUUGAGGCUCAUUUCCAGGACAGAGGGGCAAGCUGGGUCUGAGGAGCCAAGCAGAAAAACUUCCCAAAAUCACUGGGUGGGGAGGGGUCAGAGACUUACUGCUGCCCCAGCUGUUCUGACUCUGCCCCCAGCUUUUGGCCCCACCCUUUUAAAGCACCUUCAGAGGUUCCCAAUGGUGACAGUAAACAAGUCUCCACUGUCCUGGCCAUCUCUGCUGUGUUCACCCUACUCCUGAUCUUUCUGGCUGCUCAGGGACUGACAGCCAAGAUGUGAGGCUGUGAUGAGCAGGAACAGGGAGGCCUGGAGCCCCCAGCCAUUGUCAUCACUUCCCUGAUCUGCCUAAAUUCUGCCCAGCAGUCCGUGAAAAUGGUUUGCUGAUGACAUAUGUAAGGACUUUAACUCCCCUCAAGCAAUCUGCUCAUCUCAAAGGACAGAUUUGCAAUGAUCAAGAGGCGUCCUGUGAAUGCAGUUUGCAAAGGACUUAGGCACACAGCAUCUCCUUUGUUCUCACCACAAGGCUGCCGGGUGUGCAGAUGUGAGGAUUAUUUCAAUGGUGAAGAAGCAUCCUGAGAGGUUACGUAGUUCAACUAAUGUCACACCAAGAGGAGAGCAUCUGGGCAUUUGGACAUGGAAGGUGUGGGGCACAAGCAUCUCAUGGCCAGGGAACGGGGGAGGAGCAUCUCAGAGCUGCAUCAGAGUUCAUGCUGGUCCUAGGACAAGAGUCAAGCACACCCUGCUUUCACCAGCUGCUGGUAGCUUUCACUCAGGUUCCCACUUUGGCCACUUAAUUCUCUGAACCUCUACUACAUGAAGAGACUAGAACUUGAUUAGAAAAAAAUGGAAUGACUCUUAAUGAGCAAGUGGAUGAAUAAAUUGUGGUAAAUCCCUACAAGUG
rnacentral:lncRNA from 1 species